UACGGAGGGUGCAAGCGUUAAUCGGAAUUACUGGGCGUAAAGUGUGCGCAGGCGGUUUGUUAAGUCCGUUGUGAAAGCCCCGAGCUCAACUUGGGAAUUGCAGUGGAUACUGGCAGGCUGGAGUACGGUAGAGGAAGGUGGAAUUCCCGGUGUAGCAGUGAAAUGCGUAGAUAUCGGGAGGAACACCAGUGGCGAAGGCGGCCUUCUGGACCAGUACUGACGCUCAUGCACGAAAGCGUGGGGAGCAAACAGG
rnacentral:rRNA from 1 species